GAUGAACGCUGGCGGCGUGCCUAAUACAUGCAAGUCGAGCGAACGGACGAGAAGCUUGCUUCUCUGAUGUUAGCGGCGGACGGGUGAGUAACACGUGGAUAACCUACCUAUAAGACUGGGAUAACUUCGGGAAACCGUAGCUAAUCCCGUAUAAUAUUUUGCACCGCAUGGUUCAAAAGUGAAAGACGGUCUUGCUGUCACUUAUAGAUGGAUCCGCGCUGCAUUAGCUAGUUGGUAAGGUAACGGCUUACCACGGCAACGAUGCAUAGCCGACCUGAGAGGGUGAUCGGCCACACUGGAACUGAGACACGGUCCAGACUCCUACGGGAGGCAGCAGUAGGGAAUCUUCCGCAAUGGGCGAAAGCCUGACGGAGCAACGCCGCGUGAGUGAUGAAGGUCUUCGGAUCGUAAAACUCUGUUAUUAGGGAAGAACAUAUGUGUAAGUAACUGUGCACAUCGUGACGGUACCUAAUCAGAAAGCCACGGCUAACUACGUG
rnacentral:rRNA from 1 species